UACGUAGGUGGCAAGCGUUGUCCGGAAUUAUUGGGCGUAAAGCGCGCGCAGGCGGUCCUUUAAGUCUGAUGUGAAAGCCCACGGCUCAACCGUGGAGGGUCAUUGGAAACUGGGGGACUUGAGUGCAGGAGAGAAGAGUGGAAUUCCACGUGUAGCGGUGAAAUGCGUAGAUAUUGGGAAGAACACCUGAGGCGAAGGCGGGUUGCUGGGCCGACACUGACGCUGAGGCGCGAAAGCCAGGGGAGCAAACGGG
rnacentral:rRNA from 1 species